rnacentral:tRNA from 1 species
AAUUAAUGAGCUUGUAAAUAAGCUUUUGUUUUGAAAACUUAAGAAAGAAUAUAAUAUUCUAUUAAUUU